rnacentral:rRNA from 1 species
AGCAGUAGCCGCGGUAAUACGAAGGGUGCAAGCGUUACUCGGAAUUACUGGGCGUAAAGCGUGCGUAGGUGGUGGUUUAAGUCCGUUGUGAAAGCCCUGGGCUCAACCUGGGAAUUGCAGUGGAUACUGGGCAACUAGAGUAAGGUAGAGGAUAGUGGAAUUUCCGGUGUAGCAGUGAAAUGCGUAGAGAUCGGAAGGAACAUCUGUGGCGAAGGCGACUAUCUGGGCCAACACUGACACUGAGGCACGAAAGCGUGGGGAGCAAACAGGAUUAGAUACCCGUGUAGUCCCUGUCUCUUAUAC